AUGGGGAAGACCUGUAGCAAGUUGCGAUUGUUGAAGGAACCAUGCUAAACAGUGACAGAAACAGCUUCUCUGAGAGCAAGAACAGAACUGAACAAAAUUAUACUUCAUCAGCAUAAUUAAAAAGUACCAGCAGUUAACUUCCUCUUCAGGAAGGCGAAUGCAGAACAGUGUUAGCACAAAGGAAAAGUGCUAUUCAAGAACUUGGGAAAGGAAGAAAAAGAA